rnacentral:rRNA from 1 species
GAAAUCCAAAAAGAAAUCGAUAUGAUCCACGUCAUAAUCCAUAUUGGAUUCCCAAAUUUAUUAAAGAAAAAAGGAGCAAUCGAAGAAUUAGAGAAAGAUCUACAAAAGGAAAUUAACUCUAUAAACCAGAGAUUUAAUAUUUCUAUCGAAAAAGUUAAAGAACCUUAUAGACAUCCUUUAUAG